ACACACUAUUUAACCUGAUUAGUCAUUGGUCCCGAAAGUUGCCCUUUGACCCCACAAUACUAAGAGAUGUCAAACUGUCAGUCCUCCUGUGGUCCUCGUCUACGACGGACCCCUCCACUUCUGCUCACCACGCAAAGCAGAAAACCUGCCCAGCGGUGAUGUUGGUUUUUCGACGCCGCAGGGAAGCACGCUACGGCUCGAGGCCUUGGCGGUCACGUUUUGAUUACCCUCGGGAGGACACGUUCUUUCCACGGAAGGUUUGAUUUGGUUCCGCGGUCGGUCUGACGCUCUCCCCCUCCAACAACAGGGAUGCGAGGGACACACCACCACCCAGCUCCGGGACACGCCAUCAUCAACCUCGCCAGAUGUGCGGCCCGAUAGGACCCGUUGGUGGCCUGCACAAGCUUUAGCAGCAGAGAGGGGUCAAGACGCGCCAGGGAACCUGUUAGGCUGUGAUGUUUUAUGUUGUGAACCAUGUUUUCUUUGUACUGAAUAAAGUUGUGAGAUAAUAAAUACCAGGGAACCUGAGGA